rnacentral:lncRNA from 1 species
AUGUAUUUAUUGCGCGGCGGACGUCAGAUCCGUGCAGACUGUGACGUACUCCUCUCGUGCAUAGCAUUAUGCUGUCGUGGCCUCUACGUCAUCACGCUGCCAGCUGAUCGGAGUGGAAAGCCGGGUAGGAAGAGAGGGAGGGAGAGAGAGAGAGAGAAAAGGAGAGAGAGAGAAAAAGAGUUGUGUAAAAAGGGGCUGAAGUCCUGCGCUGCGUCCUCCUCCUCCUCUUCUGCUCCUCCACUGCUGCGUUGGAAAAAGUGCCCUCUCCACGGCACCUUCGCACGUCUCUCUGGCUGUUUAAAUAUCGCGGAUGAAAAGCAAACAGAAAGACUUGACUGCGACACACCCUUGCUGAAGGUCCAGGACGAGGUCUGGCGAGCGGUGGGCGAGGCAGCCCGAACUCCGCGCUGCGCUCGCUGGCUGACCGCGCAGGAGCGACCCGGCCGGCGGUCAAGGAAUGUGCACGCCUAAAGCAGACUGAAAAGGAGGAGAAAUCUGACAUCUGCGCCUUAAACCCGACUCUUCAAAGACUCAGGAUUUGUGAUUUGAUCUCUCAUGUCUGACGCUCCCUCGGCCUUUGACCCCGAAUAGCUGACGCACAGGAGUUCUUCACUGGCAAGCUUUAUGUUCCUGUACACAUACUAAAGCUGCCAGCUGAAGAACUGCUCUGCUCAGCCCUGCACCAGAUGACUCAAGUGGAGGAAGUGAACCGGGAGCGAGAAAGAAGGAAGGAAGGAAGAUGGUGUUCCGUAAAUUCAGUAUCCACACUGGAGUUUAAUGACCCACUACAUUUGAGGCUCCUAUGAAUUCAUUAAAUGUGUUUUUCCAACAAGACAUUAGUUUUGUGUUCAAUGCCUCAGUUUUGACUGUUUUCUACCAAUAAAGACAUUUUCCUCAUAAGGUAUUGUUGGCAAUAAAGGUGGCUACCAUAGCAACAACACACACGCCACAAAGCCCAGAAUAGUACCUCUGAGCUUUCAAGUUGAAUAUGAUCCCAUUAGAGGUUAAAUUGAUGAAUCCUUAAAGUUGGCAUUAAAUCUAUUUGAAAAUUUUACCAGAAACCAGAUUCCAACAGGAUGAAUAAAUUCACUUAACCCUGAUAGUCUGGUGACGUGUCCAGGGUGUAUCCCACCUCUCGCCCAGAGGCAGCUGGGAUAGAAUCCAGCGCCCCCUGUACCCAACUAAGGUAUAAAGUUGUAGACAAUGGUCCUGGAGAGGGCACAUAUAUGGUUGAAGGCAUGUCCACCCCUGGAUGAGACACCAGUUCAUCACAGGGCCUUAUGGGAGCAUUCAUAAGUUCUGUACCUUGCUCAAGGGAACCUUGGCGGUGCUCUGAAGGUGUUCUGGAAACUUCCUGUACUAGCAAAACCCCUUCCAUGAGUUGUCCACACCGGGGCUGCCAUAUUAAGAUAUUGCAUUAAUGGUUUAAAUCUAGAUUAAUAAUGGGGCAUCAAAGCUUUCGAGAUCUUGAUCCAGGAAUAUUUUAGCCCAGUUUGUUUGGGAACCAUAUCGACUGACAUUUAAAUGUGACACUCGACUUUUACAUCUUUUUUAUCUGGAGGAAAUAGAAUCA